rnacentral:rRNA from 1 species
GCCUGAUCCAGCAAUGCCGCGUGAGUGAAGAAGGCCUUCGGGUUGUAAAGCUCUUUUGUCAGGGAAGAAAAGGCUACGGAUAAUACCUGUGGCUCAUGACGGUACCUGAAGAAUAAGCACCGGCUAACUACGUGCCAGCAGCCGCGGUAAUACGUAGGGUGCAAGCGUUAAUCGGAAUUACUGGGCGUAAAGCGUGCGCAGGCGGUUUUGUAAGACUGUCGUGAAAUCCCCGGGCUCAACCUGGGAAUGGCGAUGGUGACUGCAAGGCUAGAGUUUGGCAGAGGGGGGUAGAAUUCCACGUGUAGCAGUGAAAUGCGUAGAUAUGUGGAGGAACACCGAUGGCGAAGGCAGCCCCCUGGGUCAAAACUGACGCUCAUGCACGAAAGCGUGGGGAGCAAACAGGAUUAGAUACCCUGGUAGUCCACGCCCUAAACGAUGUCUACUAGUUGUCGGGUCUUAAUUGACUUGGUAACGCAGCUAACGCGUGAAGUAGACCGCCUGGGGAGUACGGUCGCAAGAUUAAAACUCAAAGGAAUUGACGGGGACCCGCACAAGCGGUGGAUGAUGUGGAUUAAUUCGAUGCAACGCGAAAAACCUUACCUACCCUUGACAUGGAUGGAAUCCCGGAGAGAUUU